GACGAACGCUGGCGGCGCGCUUAACACAUGCAAGUCGAGCGAGAACCAGUCCUUCGGGGCUGGGGAAAGCGGCGAACGGGUGAGUAACACGUGAGUACUCCACCCUCGGUACCGGGAUAGCCCGGGGAAACCCGGAUUAAUACCGGACGGCCCAUCCGCACUUUGGGGCGGCGGGGAAAGGUAGCUUCGGCCUCCGACCGAGGACGGUCUCGCGGCGGAUUAGCUUGUUGGUGGGGUAAUGGCCCACCAAGGCGACGAUCCGUAGCUGGUCUGAGAGGACGAUCAGCCACACUGGGACUGAGACACGGCCCAGACUCCUACGGGAGGCAGCAGUGGGGAAUCUUGCGCAAUGGGCGAAAGCCUGACGCAGCGACGCCGCGUGCGGGAAGAAGGCCUUCGGGUUGUAAACCGCUUUCAGGAGGGACGAAGCCACUCAGGUUAAUAGCCUAGAGGGUGACGGUACCUCCAGAAGAAGCCCCGGCUAACUACGUGCCAGCAGCCGCGGUAA
rnacentral:rRNA from 1 species